rnacentral:rRNA from 1 species
GACGAACGCUGGCGGCGUGCCUAAUACAUGCAAGUAGAACGCUGAAGGAGGAGCUUGCUUCUCCGGAUGAGUUGCGAACGGGUGAGUAACGCGUAGGUAACCUGCCUGGUAGCGGGGGAUAACUAUUGGAAACGAUAGCUAAUACCGCAUAAGAGUAGAUGUCGCAUGACAUUUGCUUAAAAGGUGCAACUGCACCACUACCAGAUGGACCUGCGUUGUAUUAGCUAGUUGGUGAGGUAACGGCUCACCAAGGCAACGAUACAUAGCCGACCUGAGAGGGGGAUCGGCCACACUGGGAGUGAGACGCGGCCCAGACGCCUACGGGAGGCAGCAGUAGGGAACCUUCGGCAAUGGACGGAAGUCUGACAGAGCAACUCCGCGCGAGUGACGAAGGUUUUCGGAUCGGAAAGCUCUGUUGUAAGUGAAGAACGGGUGUGGGAGUGGACAGUUCACACUGUGACGGUAUCUGACAAGAAAGGGACGGCUAACUACGUG